CAUAGGUUAAUGAGGCGAACCGGGGGAACUGAAACAUCUAAGUACCCCGAGGAAAAGAAAUCAACCGAGAUUCCCCCAGUAGCGGCGAGCGAACGGGGAGCAGCCCAGAGCCUGAAUCAGUGUGUGUGUUAGUGGAAGCGUCUGGAAAGGCGCGCGAUACAGGGUGACAGCCCCGUACACAAAAAUGCACAUGCUGUGAGCUCGAUGAGUAGGGCGGGACACGUGGUAUCCUGUCUGAAUAUGGGGGGACCAUCCUCCAAGGCUAAAUACUCCUGACUGACCGAUAGUGAACCAGUACCGUGAGGGAAAGGCGAAAAGAACCCCGGCGAGGGGAGUGAAAAAGAACCUGAAACCGUGUACGUACAAGCAGUGGGAGCACGCUUAGGCGUGUGACUGCGUACCUUUUGUAUAAUGGGUCAGCGACUUAUAUUCUGUAGCAAGGUUAACCGAAUAGGGGAGCCGAAGGGAAACCGAGUCUUAACUGGGCGUUAAGUUGCAGGGUAUAGACCCGAAACCCGGUGAUCUAGCCAUGGGCAGGUUGAAGGUUGGGUAACACUAACUGGAGGACCGAACCGACUAAUGUUGAAAAAUUAGCGGAUGACUUGUGGCUGGGGGUGAAAGGCCAAUCAAACCGGGAGAUAGCUGGUUCUCCCCGAAAGCUAUUUAGGUAGCGCCUCGUGAAUUCAUCUCCGGGGGUAGAGCACUGUUUCGGCAAGGGGGUCAUCCCGACUUACCAACCCGAUGCAAACUGCGAAUACCGGAGAAUGUUAUCACGGGAGACACACGGCGGGUGCUAACGUCCGUCGUGAAGAGGGAAACAACCCAGACCGCCAGCUAAGGUCCCAAAGUCAUGGUUAAGUGGGAAACGAUGUGGGAAGGCCCAGACAGCCAGGAUGUUGGCUUAGAAGCAGCCAUCAUUUAAAGAAAGCGUAAUAGCUCACUGGUCGAGUCGGCCUGCGCGGAAGAUGUAACGGGGCUAAACCAUGCACCGAAGCUGCGGCAGCGACGCUUAUGCGUUGUUGGGUAGGGGAGCGUUCUGUAAGCCUGCGAAGGUGUGCUGUGAGGCAUGCUGGAGGUAUCAGAAGUGCGAAUGCUGACAUAAGUAACGAUAAAGCGGGUGAAAAGCCCGCUCGCCGGAAGACCAAGGGUUCCUGUCCAACGUUAAUCGGGGCAGGGUGAGUCGACCCCUAAGGCGAGGCCGAAAGGCGUAGUCGAUGGGAAACAGGUUAAUAUUCCUGUACUUGGUGUUACUGCGAAGGGGGGACGGAGAAGGCUAUGUUGGCCGGGCGACGGUUGUCCCGGUUUAAGCGUGUAGGCUGGUUUUCCAGGCAAAUCCGGAAAAUCAAGGCUGAGGCGUGAUGACGAGGCACUACGGUGCUGAAGCAACAAAUGCCCUGCUUCCAGGAAAAGCCUCUAAGCAUCAGGUAACAUCAAAUCGUACCCCAAACCGACACAGGUGGUCAGGUAGAGAAUACCAAGGCGCUUGAGAGAACUCGGGUGAAGGAACUAGGCAAAAUGGUGCCGUAACUUCGGGAGAAGGCACGCUGAUACGUAGGUGAAGUCCCUCGCGGAUGGAGCUGAAAUCAGUCGAAGAUACCAGCUGGCUGCAACUGUUUAUUAAAAACACAGCACUGUGCAAACACGAAAGUGGACGUAUACGGUGUGACGCCUGCCCGGUGCCGGAAGGUUAAUUGAUGGGGUCAGCGCAAGCGAAGCUCUUGAUCGAAGCCCCGGUAAACGGCGGCCGUAACUAUAACGGUCCUAAGGUAGCGAAAUUCCUUGUCGGGUAAGUUCCGACCUGCACGAAUGGCGUAAUGAUGGCCAGGCUGUCUCCACCCGAGACUCAGUGAAAUUGAACUCGCUGUGAAGAUGCAGUGUACCCGCGGCAAGACGGAAAGACCCCGUGAACCUUUACUAUAGCUUGACACUGAACAUUGAGCCUUGAUGUGUAGGAUAGGUGGGAGGCUUUGAAGUGUGGACGCCAGUCUGCAUGGAGCCGGCCUUGAAAUACCACCCUUUAAUGUUUGAUGUUCUAACGUUGACCCGUGAUCCGGGUUGCGGACAGUGUCUGGUGGGUAGUUUGACUGGGGCGGUCUCCUCCUAAAGAGUAACGGAGGAGCACGAAGGUUGGCUAAUCCUGGUCGGACAUCAGGAGGUUAGUGCAAUGGCAUAAGCCAGCUUGACUGCGAGCGUGACGGCGCGAGCAGGUGCGAAAGCAGGUCAUAGUGAUCCGGUGGUUCUGAAUGGAAGGGCCAUCGCUCAACGGAUAAAAGGUACUCCGGGGAUAACAGGCUGAUACCGCCCAAGAGUUCAUAUCGACGGCGGUGUUUGGCACCUCGAUGUCGGCUCAUCACAUCCUGGGGCUGAAGUAGGUCCCAAGGGUAUGGCUGUUCGCCAUUUAAAGUGGUACGCGAGCUGGGUUUAGAACGUCGUGAGACAGUUCGGUCCCUA
rnacentral:rRNA from 1 species